rnacentral:rRNA from 1 species
UACAGAGGUCUCAAGCGUUGUUCGGAUUCAUUGGGCGUAAAGGGCGCGUAGGCGGGCUGUCAAGUCCGGGGUGAAAUCCUCCAGCUCAACUGGAGAAUGGCCUCGGAUACUGAUGGUCUCGAGGAGGAUAGGGGCACACGGAACUGUGGGUGGAGCGGUGAAAUGCGUUGAUAUCCAUAGGAACUCCGGUGGCGAAAGCGGUGUGCUGGAUCCUUUCUGACGCUGAUGCGCGAAAGCCAGGGGAGCAAACGGG